GGAAUAUUGCACAAUGGGCGAAAGCCUGAUGCAGCGACGCCGCGUGAGGGAUGAAGGCCUUCGGGUUGUAAACCUCUUUCAGUAGGGAAGAAGCGAAAGUGACGGUACCUGCAGAAGAAGCGCCGGCUAACUACGUGCCAGCAGCCGCGGUAAUACGUAGGGCGCAAGCGUUGUCCGGAAUUAUUGGGCGUAAAGAGCUCGUAGGCGGUUUGUCGCGUCUGGUGUGAAAACUCAAGGCUCAACCUUGAGCUUGCAUCGGGUACGGGCAGACUAGAGUGUGGUAGGGGUGACUGGAAUUCCUGGUGUAGCGGUGGAAUGCGCAGAUAUCAGGAGGAACACCGAUGGCGAAGGCAGGUCACUGGGCCACUACUGACGCUGAGGAGCGAAAGCAUGGGGAGCGAACAGGAUUAGAUACCCUUG
rnacentral:rRNA from 1 species